AUUGAACGCUGGCGGCAUGCCUUACACAUGCAAGUCGAACGGCAGCGGGCCUUCGGGUGCCGGCGAGUGGCGAACGGGUGAGUAAUGCAUCGGAACGUGCCAUUGAGUGGGGGAUAACGUAGCGAAAGUUACGCUAAUACCGCAUAUUCUGUGAGCAGGAAAGCAGGGGACCGCAAGGCCUUGCGCUCUUUGAGCGGCCGAUGUCAGAUUAGCUAGUUGGUGAGGUAAAGGCUUACCAAGGCGACGAUCUGUAGCGGGUCUGAGAGGAUGAUCCGCCACACUGGAACUGAGACACGGUCCAGACUCCUACGGGAGGCAGCAGUGGGGAAUUUUGGACAAUGGGCGCAAGCCUGAUCCAGCCAUGCCGCGUGAGUGAAGAAGGCCUCGGUUGUAAGCUUU
rnacentral:rRNA from 1 species